UACGUAGGGUGCGAGCGUUAAUCGGAAUUACUGGGCGUAAAGUGUGCGCAGGCGGCCAUGCAAGUCGAGGGUGAAAGCCCCGGGCUUAACUUGGGAAUUGCGCUCGAAACUACGUGGCUGGAGUGUGGCAGAGGAAGGUGGAAUUCCACGUGUAGCGGUGAAAUGCGUAGAGAUGUGGAGGAACACCAAUGGCGAAGGCAGCCUUCUGGGCCAACACUGACGCUCAUGCACGAAAGCGUGGGGAGCAAACAGG
rnacentral:rRNA from 1 species